ACACAAAGCGACACAUUCCAAUAAGUUAAACUCUAAUAACACCACGUCACUCUCAUUCACUAGGGGGCGCCACAGGACCACCAAUCUCAAAGCAACACUUUUAAACUACGUUUCUUUCUUCCUUUCUUUCUUUCUUUUUACAUGCCCUAAUUCACACCAUUUGAAACUGCUGUGUCAACGAGUAGAAACAGGAAUAAACAGCACGCUGGAGUGAACUGACUGUUGGUGUAGUGAGUUGACGGGAGCGUCUGGCCGUUCUCUUCCCAGUAAACUACGACGUUAGAUGGGAAAAAUCCAGAAACUAGGCAGUGUGUUUGAGGGACAGUGAAGCGUCUAGUGAUUGAAUGGACACCUGAGGCUUCAUGAAGGUCAACAUACUGUUUUCCAGGGAUGUCGACGCUGUUGGCUUGAAAGUGUGUUUGAGGGACAGUGAAGCGUCUAGUGAUUGAAUGGACACCUGAGGCUUCAUGAAGGUCAACAUACUGUUUUCCAGGGAUGUCGACGCUGUUGGCUUGAAAGGUUUUUCCUGCAACUCUUUCAAUCCAGCUGGCAGCCUCAGGCAUUCUUGAUCUGGUCUGUCCAAUCGAGCUCCUCGGUUCAUCACUUUGCCUUAAUUUCCUCAUGGCCAAGAGAUGUCAUCGUUUUAUAUUUUAUUUUACUAAAAAGCUUUUCCUGACAAGACUCCCAAGAUAGUCUUCCAACACCUACAUUUAUUUUCCAGUGUGGAGCUCUUGAAUGGCAUCUCCCUGUACCCUGCUACCUUUGAGCCAAUGCUAUCAGGUGCUGUUGGUCAGUAAUCAUCUUAAAAAGUGCUGUCUUCAAAUUUUUGAAACCUGAACUU